rnacentral:rRNA from 1 species
GAUGAACGCUGGCGGCGUGCCUAAUACAUGCAAGUCGAGCGAACGGACGAGAAGCUUGCUUCUCUGAUGUUAGCGGCGGACGGGUGAGUAACACGUGGAUAACCUACCUAUAAGACUGGGAUAACUUCGGGAAACCGGAGCUAAUACCGGAUAAUAUUUUGAACCGCAUGGUUCAAAAGUGAAAGACGGUCUUGCUGUCACUUAUAGAUGGAUCCGCGCUGCAUUAGCUAGUUGGUAAGGUAACGGCUUACCAAGGCAACGAUGCAUAGCCGACCUGAGAGAGUGAUCGGCCACACUGGAACUGAGACACGGUCCAGACUCCUACGGGAGGCAGCAGUAGGGAAUCUUCCGCGAUGGGCGAAAGCCUGACGGAGCAACGCCGCGUGAGUGAUGAAGGUCUUCGGAUCGUAAAACUCUGUUAUUAGGGAAGAACAUAUGUGUAAGUAACUGUGCACAUCUUGACGGUACCUAAUCAGAAAGCCACGGCUAACUACGUG